rnacentral:rRNA from 1 species
AGUGAACGCUGGCGGCGUGCCUAAUACAUGCAAGUCGAACGAAGUGGCGCACGGGUGAGUAAUACGUGAGUAACCUGCCCUCCUUUUUGGGAUAAGCCUUGGUAACGGGGUCUAAUACCGAAUAAAGGGGGAUGGGCUCGCGGCCUAUCAGCUUGUUGGUGGGGUGAUGGCCUACCAAGGCGGUGACGGGUAGCCGGCGUGAGAGGGCGACCGGGGACAUGGGGACUGGGAUAGUGCCCAGAGUGAGGCGGCAGGCUGCAGUUGGGGACAAUGCACAAUGGGCUAAAGCCUGAUGCAGCGGCGCGUGGUGGAGGAUUAAGGCUUUUGGGUUGUAAACCUCUUUCGCUAUCGAACCGGUAGGUGGAGAAGAAGCGCCGGCUAACUACGUGCCAGCAGCCGCGGUAAUUC